rnacentral:tRNA from 1 species
GCGCCCUUAGCUUAACGGAUAAAGCAGUGGCCUUCUAAGCCAUAGAUGAAAGUUCGAUUCUUUCAGGGUGUACCA